CUGCACUUAAUAAACAUGAAAACAAAAUAAAAAGAGUGUGUAGAUAAGUGUGCUUUAUUUUUCUGCUAAGUUUAAUCUCUAAAAAAAUAAAAAGACCAAAAAGAUGCAUGAUGGAAAUGAUGAACAGUUGCUCUGUUUGCUUACUUACAAGUACCUAGCUUUUAUAUUAGAAUUCUUUCAGGAAUUACUAAAACUAAAAUUACUAUCUUUGGGAAGCACAAAACUAAAGUCUAGAUAAGAGAAAGGCAUGAUAUAAAGUUGAGCUGCUGUUUAUCUUGUUCCUACUACACUAAGUUCUGGAGAUUUAUUUUGAAAAAUCACAAAUCACAUGAUGAGUUCCUAGCAUAACAAACUACCUACCACAGCCAUACUUGCUAUAACAUCUUUUACUAUAUUUACAUUGAGUUUGAUCGAGCUGUGUUGACCCUUAGGAGCUUUUCAUGUGGUUAAAUUAAGAUAUUCACUUGCACACAUCUACCACAGCAUUCAUCACCAAUCAUUAAAAUUGCUAAAAAUAUUAUAACUCACUGUCCCGAAUAUUGUUAUUCUCUCUCUCUAAAAAGAUUCAAUGCAGAAGAGGCAUGGGUUAUGCAAAAAUAUAUACGAGGAAAUAAAAAGGGGCAAGUGCCCGGAACCUCGAAAAAGAAAGAAAAAAGAGUGAGACGAGAGGUAAAAAUGGACAAGUGUCCGAAGUAGAAUUAGGGGUACAAAGAUGCCCACUUGAGCGGAAAAAAAAUGGACAAGUGUCCGACAGUAGAAUUAGGGGUAUCUAUUACCCAUCUGAAAAAAAAGAAGAAAGAAAAAGAUAGCCCAUGUUCUCCCAAAGCAAAGAUCAAAAAGAAGAGGAGAGAUAGCAAUAUGAGGAGCAAUGAGAACUAAGAUUUAUUAACACUAUUGCAUUUUCACCAUCACUAUCAUUUACUCCACCACACAUGCACAUCUUGAUUUAAUCAUAUGCUGAGUUCCUUUGGAUCCAUGGCUCGAUUAGACAACAUAUGUAUGAGCUGUUUUCCACUCCUAUAAGCUCCACUUAAAUAUUCCAUUAGCUAUAGGAAAGUGACAUUAUGGUAAGGAUCCACAAAUACCACAUAUAGAGAGACUUGAGAGAAUCAUUGCUAGGAACUCUGAGUUUUAUUUUAAAAACUUAUGAAAAACUCUAGAACAAAGGUGAAGUAUAGACAGGAGGGAUAGUGCUUGACUUAACUGUUUUGUCUUUCGAUUACUUAAGACUUAAGUGCAGGUGCUAAACUCCAUAACACUUCACUAUAAUCUGGAAGUAUUUUUAUGUAAAAGCAUGUGUGCCUGUCAGGAAAGAAAACAUCGAAGCAACUCCUCAUCCGUCUGAGUUUUGUUGUUUGCUCAGGGACGAGCAAAGGGUAAGCUUGGGGGAGUUUGUUGACGGUCCUUAAGUACUAAAAUUAAUAAUCAAAUAAACAUGAAAAAGGAUCAAUAUGAAACAAACAUCUAGAAUUAGGGUUUUAUCUGACAGAAUUCCACGAGCUUUGGUGUUUAUCUAUUUCUGCAGGGGUUUAUCAGAAAAUAGGGAGAGAAGGCCCACAUGUCAAGUUUACAACGAGAUAAUUACGUGCCGCGCAAUUUUCCUCAAUCUAGAAGGAUCCAGAAGCCACGGGAACGAACGGGACGCGAAUCGGGCUCGGGAGCUGGGCGGCCGCCCACCCCCCUUGGGCGCCCGCCCUGGCCAAGAGGCCAAUCAGGACUCUGCUUCGGGGCAAGACUCCACCGACCUAAAGGAUCAAUCUAAACCAUACAAUCUAUGUCGGUUUGAUCCAAUGGCUCACGUUCACUUGAGGGGACUAUAAAACCAGACCCCCUGGCCCCUGGAGGAGGAGAGGAGAAAUCAUUAUUCAGAGGUAGCCAUCAAAGUUAGGGUUUAGAUCUCUCUCCCACAGAGAAUUAGAAUUAGCUACUCCCUAAUCCUUCAAGUUUAGAGGUUUGAUUAGAUAGCAAUUAGAGAAGUAGAGCACUACGCUCUGGAUUCGGAUCUUCGGUAAUAAAGAUUGGUAUUAUUCAUAUCUUUCUCUAAUUCUAUUGUUCUAAUUGCAUUAUGUCUCUAAUUAUUAUGUUCUUAGUUUGCUCUAGUUCUAUAUUUGAUAUAGUUCUAAUUGAUAAUGAGAUUAUGUAUAAGUUUGCAAAGCGCUUAGCUCUUGACGCGAGGGAGUUAGGUGAUAGAUCACAUGUGAGCGUGGUGCUUAGAUGUUAUUUAUCUGCAAAUGUAUCCUAUUGGCCGGGUCGUGUGGUAGUUCGCGAUAGUGACAGCUUCGUUGAUUCUUAUAUAGUCCACCCUCCGUUGAUAGGACAGGCAGAAUCGGUAUUGUGGAGUAAGUCAUGCGAUGCUCUGAUUUACUUUAUCAAUGUUCCUUAUACAUUAAUGAAGAGUCUUUUAUGCUAUAUAUGAUCUUGUAGAUAACUAGAGUAGAUUAUGACUUAGUAGUUAGUAGAUAACUUAGAAUCCAUUCUCUAGAUAAUCCGACAUCACCUACAUAUAUGAGGAGUAGUCUAUUUUCUAAUCGCUGUGUUAUCUACCCACGAACUUAUACUUUAUUAUCAUUAUCUUUAUGGUUUACCCCCUGCUAAAGUAAGUGACUGUGUGACGAGUUUCUCAUUAGUAAUCAUGUUCUUGCAAGUUUAUCUCUAGUCUAUGCCUUGAUAGAUUUUGCCCAUUGAUUUAAUUCCAUCUUCUUGAGAUCCCUUGAGCAAAAUUAUAGAUAACGAUACCUGGAAUACUUAUCCUGGUGAAAUGCUACAAUGAGGUGUUUUAUCUGUGCGCUUGCGGAUAGAAUAGAUUAUUUUCUAGAGAGCCUUUACAUUUAUAAAUACCUUUGUACACUCUGGCGCCAUGCUAGGGAUGACAACCUAGUAUCUAAGUGGUGUUAGCUAGUGUCAACAAGCAUUUCUGGCGCCGUUGCCGGGGAACUUAUGGAAUCUUAUAGGAAUUAUAUGAGCCUCAGGAAUAAGUCAUAAAAGGGAAUAAAGGAGUAAUAUUUAGGAAUGGUAAGGAAAGCCAGAAAAUCAAUCAAGGUUAUUCAUAUAAAAUAUUAGACUAGACUAUAGAGAAAUAAUUGCAUAAAACAGCUACUAAGUGAGAAAUCAUAACAAGGCACCUAUGCUUUGGCAGGUUCACCCUGUUGUUUUUCUAUGUUUAUAUUUUUAUACAGGGUAUAACAGGAUUGACUUUGGGUACAUUCAACUCUUCAUCAUCAGAACCAAAGCAAUCUAGAAAAGAAGAAGCUAGCUACCAAUUGCUGAAGCUAUGGCACAAAAGACCUUGCAAGAAUUCUCUGCUCCAAGUCUUGACAACGUUCCAACCGGUCCAAGUUUUGCAGUAGAAGAAGGAAUACCCGAGUUUGAGCUCAAGUCAAGACUCAUCAAUUUGGUACAAGCUACACAAUUCAGUGAAAAGGCACAUGAAGAUGCCAGUGCACACUUGCAGAAUUUCUUAGAAAUUGGAAGCACAAUCCACAUCAACGGAGUUGACAAAGACGUCAUACUACUUCGUCUUUUUCCAUUCUCACUAGAAGGAAAAGCGAGGAAGUGGUUCUACACUCAUCAAGAUAAUAUCAACAACUGGACGAACUUGUCAGAUGCCUUUCUAUCAAAGUUUUUCCCUAUAGGCAAAACAACUGCCUUAAGAGGAAAUAUUGUCAGUUUCCAACAGCAGAAGACAGAAGCCAUUUCAGAAGCAUGGGAGCGUUUUCAAGGAUACAUAUCAGAUUGUCCUCACCAUGGAAUGGCUACAUGGUUACUUAUGUAGACCUUCUACCAUGGAUUAACCCAGAAGACUCGUAAGUGCCUAGAUGCAUCUGCUAAAGGAUCAUUCUAGGAGCUUACAACUGGAAAAGCAGAGAUACUUUUGGAUAAGAUAGCAGAAAACCAAAGCUGGUUCCAAGAUAAAGCUCAACAUUGUCAUCAAACUGAAGAAAUACCAGAAGAAGUAAAUGCAUUAUCAACUAAGAUGGAAAAUUUGCUCCAUUGGAUUGACCAGAGGGCCAAGUUCAAAGAAGAUCAAAGGGCCAUUGAGACAGCAUACAAAUAUCAACCAACUUCGAGUCAACCCAAUAGCAAAGGUAUGAAUUCCGGUAAUACUAUCAAGCAACUUUCAUUAAAAGAGAUAAUUGCUCAACAAACCAAAAUUAAUGAUGAAGUUAAACAAAGGCUAGAUACAAAUGAAUCAUCUCUAAAAGAUAUACACAAUAAAAUGGAUUUUCUACUAACUGCCUUUGAUGAGCAAAACACUCUUAAUAAAAGGGUAGAGCUUAAAUUAAUAAAGUUAGCUGCUGCACUGCCUGUUGCUACUAACCUUGAGCAGGUGAAGAAUAUAACUACUAGAGGAGGCAAAGCCACCAGAGAUCCACCAUACCCAAAAGAGAAACAAAGAACAUCAGCACCAGUGCAACCAGCAGUGAUAGAAGAAGAAAGCCCAGUUGAAGCAGAAGAUCUGCUCCAACCACCAAGAACUGGAGAAAUGAGGAAAGAUUUUUACGACACCAACUAUUUGCCAUUUCCCAGAAGAAACAGAGGACUGCAGUCGGAUCAGCAGUUUGGUAAGUUUGUAGAGGUCAUUCAGAAAUUAUAUGUCAACAUACCUCUGCUCGAUGCCAUACAGGUACCUACAUAUGCAAAGUAUAUCAGAGAUAUUCUUAACAAGAAGAGACCACUGCCCACCACUAAGGUUAUCAAGCUGACAGAAGAAUGUAGUGCGGCCAUCCUCAAUAAGCCACCAAAGAAGAAGAAAGAUCCCGGAUGUCCCACUAUUGAUUGCUCGAUCGGAAACCAACACUUCAACAAUGCACUUUGUGAUCUCGGAGCAAGUGUCAGUGUGAUGCCAGCAUCAGUCUACAAAAAGUUUGAUCAUGCAACCUUAGAACCAACAUCAAUGUGCCUACAACUAGCGGAUCAAUCGGUUCGACACCCGUUGGGCAUCGCCGAGAACAUUCCAGUCAAGAUCAGAUAUUUCCUGGUGCCAGUAGACUUCGUAGUACUGGACAUGAGUCCUGACUCAAAAGUGUCCAUCAUCCUUGGAAGGCCAUUUCUGAGCACUGCCAAUGCCCACAUUGAUGUCGGAAAAGGAGAAAUCAAGUUCAACAUAAACGGUCAAGAAGAACACUUCACAUUCAAACCCAGACCAGAGAGAGACUCUACAGUGAAGGAAGUUCAUGAAGAACCACUGGAAACACCAUCUCCAGAGGAAGGAAACUCAGAAGAUUAAAAGAUUUGGAGGUCCAGCUUGGGGGACCUAAAAAUCCCAAACCCUCACUGGGAGGUAAAUCGAUAUUUAUCCGCAUUAUUAAUUUUCUCAUAUUUAACUUCUUGCAUAAUUAAUUCUUGCAUUAGUCAUAGCAUAAUUAUAAUAAUCAAAAAGCCCCAUAUAAAUAAUAUUUGUGGUGUGUAACAACCCAUAUUUAUUAAUUAUUGUGGAGGCACAAAAAAAUAUUUUCCAUUAUCAUUUUCAAUUAGUUUCAAUUCUCAUAGAUUUUCCUGCAUUAUAUUUAUUUAUAUUGAUACUCUAGAAGCAUGACCCACACUCUUUGGGUCCCACAUGUCAUACACUUCAUCUCACAUACAUCCCAUCACAUAACUUCAUCCACCAAUAUGUUUCCACUCACCUGACAUCUUUCCACCGUCCAACCACCACCAACACAAUAUUAUUCUGCGUGAGAUCAAAGCAAGGAAGCAAGUGGAGGAAGCACACCCAGGAUGGACACUAGGGGUGGGCGCCCGCCCACCUACCUUGGGCGCCCGCCCUGUCCCCUGCUCAGCCUAUAAAAGGCCACCGCCAGCUCCCCUUCUCUUCACACAAACACUUCAGAAAACCACACACAACUCAGUUUCCCGAGAAGGAGCUUUUGUAGUGAAGAGAAGAGAGUAGAGAGAAAGAGGAGAGUGGAAGGGAAAGGUUGGAGUUCUUUUGAGAGAAUGAUUGUCACCUAGCAAGUAGUGAUCCCGUUGUCGAAGCGGAAGUAAAAAUUGUUUAGGGGAAGCUCUACUAAAAUAGAAACUUGUCUUGAACGAUUAACCCCCGGACUACUGACACUCCGGACAACUGACCACUAACAUUUUAUCUCACAUUUUCCACCAGUUGUGUUUUUGCCAACUUUUGUUUGCAGGAUGUUUAAGAAGGUGAAGAAUGCAGGGAAGGCUCUCAAGAACAUUGGAACAAGGAGUUCAUCCCGACACUCCUCACAGCCAUCAGAGAUGAACGUCGACCCGACACCCACACAAGCUCCAUCAUCUUCAUCAGGUCAUCAAGUUAAGGUUCUUCUCAAGAUAGGAGACCUUGGACUGAAGACCCGAAGAGAGAAGGAAGUCUAUCAGCAACUGAAGAACAAAGAUUUCAUUCACACCCCUACUAUCGAUCCAAUCCUACUACGAGAAACAGGUAUGGACACUGAAUUUGACUUAAUUUUUCAAAUGAUGGGUUGGACAAAUUUUUGGAAUAUAACCGAACUGGGUUCUCGUCUUCUCACCCUCGAAUUUCUUUGCACCUUACAAUACUAUUGGGGGAAUUGUUUUUCGGAUGUUCAAACAAGAAAUUAUGUUAUCCUGGAGAGAGCUGAGCGACCAUCUUGGUUUCUCUUCAAGAUGCAUCCUGAACAUUGACUCCGAUUUACCCAAUUUUGAGAGACACCAGUUUUGGAGAGAAAUAUCUAGAGAUAAUUUUUACAGUCAAGCCCGAACCAGUGAUAUGGAACACCCCACUCUUAGGAUGUUUAACAAAUGGCUUGGGUACAAUCUUUUCUAUCGCGAUGAUAUUAGGAAAGUAAGAGUAGGAGAUCUACAACUUUUAUAUGCUGCUAUUAGUAAAGUACCCACUUCACCUGUUACACUAUUAGUUUCACAUUGGCUUAGUAUACCUAGUCUUCAGGGACCAGUAGGAUGUACUUCACUUAUCACUCGUCUAGCCACUAAUCUUCACUUACUAGAAAACUCAUCGUUGGACUUCAUAGAAGAAUUAAGAAUUUAUCAUGGCUAUGACACAUUUAGACAAGCUCGGAUGUUAAAGAAAGAGGGGAAUAUAAUGUAUAUGCUAUAUGAUGAUAAAGGCAAGAUUCGGUUACCUAACCCGAACCUUGGCCUCUACUCUGUGCAAAACUUUUUGAUUGAGAUUGCAGCAACACCAGUGAACCAGAGAACUCCACAGCGAGUGGCAUCUGAAAGGAUAACCACUCACCGAGAACGCACUUGGUAUGGAACUGACCCUGGACCAGAAGAAGCAGCGCACCUGCAUUAUUGCGAUUACAAUCCACGAGUCCUUCGAGACCCAUGGGCUCGGCAUGCGCAACCACAAGAGCCAACAGAGGAGACAUGGCCGGAGAGCCAAGAUCACCAGUGGACAAACCCGCCUUUUCAUACGGGCAGGUACUCCACUAAUCCAUAUGGAGCUUCAGGAUCCAGACCUCCACCACAAUUUGAUGCAGGACGAUACUCCGACGCCUCCUACGCUUUCACGAAUGACUACUAUCAAGAGGCCGGUGCUUUCUUCACUCGUACCGACAACACCCUCCUCGACAUCCAGAACACGCAAGCAGAACAUAGGAGACUCCUGGAAGAGCAACAAAAAUGGAACCAGGACCAUGCCGCAGCAGUACAAGAGCUGAUACAAGAUACAACAACAAUGAACAACAACAUCACAACCAUGAUGCGGUUCUGGAACAUCGGGUAAGACCCACGUCAACAUCCAGCUUGGGGGAGUUCCUCCCUAAUUUAUCAAGUAAGUUUUUAUUUGCUCUUCUUAUUUAUUAUAUUCUGUCUUAGUAUUUUAUUUAUCUUAAAAGGAAAACUUAGAAAACCAAAUAAAUAUUUUCUUGCUUUAAUCUACUGCACUUAAUAAACAUGAAAACAAAAUAAAAAGAGUGUGUAGAUAAGUGUGCUUUAUUUUUCUGCUAAGUUUAAUCUCUAAAAAAAUAAAAAGACCAAAAAGAUGCAUGAUGGAAAUGAUGAACAGUUGCUCUGUUUGCUUACUUACAAGUACCUAGCUUUUAUAUUAGAAUUCUUCCAGGAAUUACGAAAACUAAAAUUACUAUCUUUGGGAAGCACAAAACUAAAGUCUAGGUAAGAGAAAGGCAUGAUAUAAAGUUGAGCAGCUGUUUAUCUUGUUCCUACUACACUAAGUUCUGGAGAUUUAUUUUGAAAACUCACAAAUCAAAUGAUGAGUUCCUAGCAUAGCAAACUACCUACCACAGCCAUACUUGCUAUAACAUCUUUUACUAUAUUUACAUUGAGUUUGAUCGAGCUGUGUUGACCCUUAGGAGCUUUUCAUGUGGUUAAAUUAAGAUAUUCACUUGCACACAUCUACCACAGCAUUCAUCACCAAUCAUUAAAAUUGCUAAAAAUAUUAUCACUCAAUGUCCCGAAUAUUGUUAUUCUCUCUCUCUAAAAAGAUUCAAUGCAGAAGAGGCAUGGGUUAUGCAAAAAUAUAUACGAGGAAAUAAAAAGGGGCAAGUGCCUGGAACCUCGAAAAAGAAAGAAAAAAGAGUGAGACGAGAGGUAAAAAUGGACAAGUGUCCGAAGUAGAAUUAGGGGUACAAAGAUGCCCAUUUGAGCGGAAAAAAUGGACAAGUGUCUGACAGUAGAAUUAGGGGUAUCUAUUACCAACCUGAAAAAAAAAAGAAGAAAGAAAAAGAUAGCCCAUGUUCUCCCAAAGCAAAGAUCAAAAUGAAGAGGAGAGAUAGCAAUAUGAGGAGCAAUGAGAACUAAGAUUUAUUAACACUAUCGCAUUUUCACCAUCAGUAUCAUUUACUCCACCACACAUGCACAUCUUGAUUUAAUCAUAUGCUGAGUUCCUUUGGAUCCAUGGCUCGAUUAGACAACAUAUGUAUGAGCGGUUUUCCACUCCUAUAAGCUCCACUUAAAUAUUCCAUUAGCUAUAGGAAAGUAUCAUUAUGGUAAGGAUCCACAAAUACCACAUAUAGAGAGACUUGAGAGAAUCAUUGCUAGGAACUCUGAGUUUUAUUUUAAAAACUUAUGAAAAACUCUAGAACAAAGGUGAAGUAUAGACAGGAGGGAUAGUGCUUGACUUAACUAUUUUGUCUUUCGAUUACUUAAGACUUAAGUGCUGGUGCUAAACUCCAUAACACUUCACUAUAAUCUGGAAGAAUUUUUAUGUAAAAGCAUGUGUGCCUGUCAGGAAAGAAAACAUCGAAGCAACUCCUGAUCCGUCUGAGUUUAGUUGUUUGCUCAGGGACGAGCAAAGGGUAAGCUUGGGGGAGUUUGUUGACGGCCCUUAAGUACUAAAAUUAAUAAUCAAAUAAACAUGAAAAAGGAUCAAUAUGAAACAAACAUCUAGAAUUAGGGUUUUAUCUAACAGAAUUCCACGAGCUUUGGUGUUUAUCUAUUUCUGCAGGGGUUUAUCAGAAAAUAGGGAGAGAAGGCCCACAUGUCAAGUUUACAACGAGAUAAUUACGUGCCGCGCAAUUUUCCUCAAUCUAGAAGGAUCCAGAAGCCACGGGAACGAACGGGACGCG
rnacentral:lncRNA from 1 species